rnacentral:tRNA from 2 species
GCGGGAGUGGCGAAAUUGGUAUACGCGCUGGUUUUAGGUACCAGUGCCGCAAGGCGUGAGAGUUCGAGUCUCUCCUUCCGCACCA